GACGAACGCUGGCGGCGUGCUUAACACAUGCAAGUCGAACGGAAAGGCCCUGCUUUCGUGGGACGCUCGUGUGGCAAACGGGUGAGUCACAUGGGAGUUCUCUGCUGUUGACCUUGGGAUACCUUCAGGACACUGUGGCAUAUACCGGAUAGGAGCUCCUGCUGCAUGGUGGGGGUAGGAUUGUUUCGUCGGUUGGGGACGGACUCGCGGCUAAUCAGCUUGUUGGUGGGGGAGUGGCUUACCAAGGCUUUGACGGGUAGCCGGCCUGAGUGGGUGACCGGCAACUUGGGGACUAGAAUAGGGCCCGAACUCCUACGGGGGCCAGCAGUGGGGAAUAUUGCACAAUGGGCGGAGGCCGAAUGCAGCAACGCCGCUGGCGGGAUAACGGCCUUCGGGUGGUAAACCGCUUUCGCCUGGGACAAAGCGUGUGUGACGGUAAUGAGUUAAGAAGCACCGGCUAACUACGUG
rnacentral:rRNA from 1 species